rnacentral:rRNA from 1 species
UACGUAGGGACCAAGCGUUGUUCGGAUUUACUGGGCGUAAAGGGCGCGUAGGCGGCGUGUUAAGUCACUUGUGAAAUCUCUAAGCUUAACUUAGAACGGUCAAGUGAUACUGAUGUGCUAGAGUGCAGAAGGGGCAACCGGAAUUCUUGGUGUAGCGGUGAAAUGCGUAGAUAUCAGGAGGAACACCCGUAGCGAAGGCGGCACUCUGGGCCGAUACUGACACUGAGGAGCGAAAGCGUGGGGAGCGAACAGG